AGGAGCAGCAUGCUUAACACUGCUCCUCAAGCUUCCUGGGGGAGGAGAGGUGAGAGGCAACAAGCUCUGACCUGCUCCAGGAGCAGGGGCUGGAGGCAGUUCACAAGGAGACUGACAAGGCAAGGUGGAAAGGAACACAGAGGUGGAUUUUCAGAUGCGGAGCAGCUUCUGCCAAAAGGAGAUCUGUCAGCAAGAUCCUUUGAAGAAAACAUGUAGGCUGACCCGGAGAUGUGCAGAUAGGGGACACCGCAGCAGAGGAACAACACUGCACUUAUCCGCUUCCUGCUGCUGACAGGCCUGGCUGGGUUUACCUAAGGCUUGACCCCUAUCUCUCCUGCACAGCUGCCCAGCCAGAUGCUGUGCCCAUGGUGGAGAUGUGCUACUCAUCAAGAUAAAAGGAAUAAGAAUCUAUCUCAAAGCACUUAGGUAUGAUUAAAUAAAGGAGGCCAUUUCCUGUGCUGCUAA